GUGGAGGUGGGGCUGAUGCACAAGUUACCAGCUGAUGUUGUUUUGGGGAAUGACCUGGGGCAAAUGACUUCCGCUUUUGUGCCCCAAAGUCCUCGCCAUGAGGCAUAUCCGGUGACCACCCGUCAGCAGGCUCGCACCACGGCUUCAUCUUCCACACACUCUGAGGCUCAGGUAAGAGACAAUGUACCCCGUGUAACCCGUGUUUCCUGGGAUACCCUGACUGACUUUGAGGCAGAGGUUAAAAACGAUCCCAC